AGUGAACGCUGGCGGUAGGCCUAACACAUGCAAGUCGAACGGCAGCACAGUAAGAGCUUGCUCUUACGGGUGGCGAGUGGCGGACGGGUGAGGAAUACAUCGUAAUCUACUUUUUCGUGGGGGAUAACGUAGGGAAACUUACGCUAAUACCGCAUACGACCUACGGGUGAAAGCAGGGGAUCUUCGGACCUUUCGCGAUUGAAUGAGCCGAUGUCGGAUUAGCUAGUUGGCGGGGUAAAGGCCCACCAAGGCGACGAUCCGUAGCUGGUCUGAGAGGAUGAGCAGCCACACUGGAACUGAGACACGGUCCAGACUCCUACGGGAGGCAGCAGUGGGGAAUAUUGGACAAUGGGCGCAAGCCUGAUCCAGCCAUACCGCGUGGGUGAAGAAGGCCUUCGGGUUGUAAAGCCCUUUUGUUGGGAAAGAAAAGCAGCAGGUUAAUACCCCGCUGUUCUGACGGUACCCAAAGAAUAAGCACCGGCUAACUUCGUG
rnacentral:rRNA from 1 species